rnacentral:tRNA from 6 species
GGUGCUGUAGUAUAGUGGUCAGUACAGCUCGUUGUGGUUUAGUCCCGAGCAGACCUGGGUUCGAUUCCCAGCAGCGCCA